UGUGUUUUAUGGAGAGAUCCCAAAGAGUU
rnacentral:piRNA from 1 species